rnacentral:rRNA from 1 species
UACGAAGGGAGCUAGCGUUGUUCGGAAUUACUGGGCGUAAAGCGUGCGCAGGCGGCCAUUCAAGUCAGGGGUGAAAGCCCAGAGCUCAACUCUGGAACUGCACUUGAAACUGUAUGGCUUGAGGAUGAGAGAGGUGAGUGGAAUUCCCAGUGUAGAGGUGAAAUUCGUAGAGAUCGGGAGGAACACCAGUGGCGAAGGCGGCUACCUGGACCAGCACUGACACUGAGGCACGAAAGCGUGGGGAGCAAACAGG